CAUUGAAUGGCUGAAAUAUUUAAGCAAUGGUCUCUUAAACCAAUUUAUAGUGUAAUACUUUCAAUGA
rnacentral:tRNA from 1 species